rnacentral:lncRNA from 1 species
GCGGCAGGAGUAGAUGACGGUCAUCGCCACGCGCCAUCUUUUAUGUGGCAAGGUGAUGCGGCGGCCCGGGGCGAGGAAGAAGGCAGCAAAGUCCAUGAGAAAAUUUGUAGAAGCCGGCAAUACCAGGAUAAAAGCAAUGAAGGAUUGGCUCCCUAGGCGUGUGUGUAUAUAAAGCUGCCAACUUAUGGAUCAAGAAUACUUAAUGUAGAACUUUCAGCGAAGGUCCAUUGGCGGUUACGCGGCAAAAACGCGAAGCAAGCCAGAAAAAUCGAAGGCGAAGCUAAGUGAAAAAUAGAAGAAAGGAGAAAGCAUAGGAUUCUAUGGCAAUUGAAAUCUAACUCCUUAACAAGUAAAGACCGAAGGAAGGUUCGGUGCUGCUUCUAUCCCAGGACGAGGGCCUCUCUCCCUAACAGCGAAACCGUGAUGGGAAAGCAAUCUCUACAUCAGAAAGAAAUUUUUUUUUUUGGGUAAAAGUAAAAGAAAUUUUUUAAAAAAAUAAAUAAAUAUUUUUGAAGUGAGCCGUGAAGCUGGCCCGCCCUACGGCGGUUGUGGGGGAGGCCGGCCUUGCGUUAAAAGCUUCGACGGGGGGAUUUUGAUUAGGUCCGCUGCAGCGCAGGAGGAAUGUCCUUCUUUGCACUGGGGCAGGAUAGGAUACACGGAAGACUUCGAUAGUCGCGUAGAGGUGAUGAUGC